GUGAGAUGUUGGGUUAAGUCCCGCAACGAGCGCAACCCUUGUCAUUAGUUGCUACGAAAGGGCACUCUAAUGAGACUGCCGGUGACAAACCGGAGGAAGGUGGGGAUGACGUCAAGUCCUCAUGGCCCUUAUGGGUAGGGCUUCACACGUCAUACAAUGGUCGGUACAGAGGGUUGCCAAGCCGCGAGGUGGAGCCAAUCCCAGAAAACCGAUCGUAGUCCGGAUCGCAGUCUGCAACUCGACUGCGUGAAGUCGGAAUCGCUAGUAAUCGUGAAUCAGAAUGUCACGGUGAAUACGUUCCCGGGCCUUGUACACACCGC
rnacentral:rRNA from 1 species